GACGAACGCUGGCGGCGUGCUUAACACAUGCAAGUCGAACGGAAAGGCCCUGCUUUUGUGGGGUGCUCGAGUGGCGAACGGGUGAGUAACACGUGAGUAACCUGCCCUUGACUUUGGGAUAACUUCAGGAAACUGGGGCUAAUACCGGAUAGGAGCUCCUGCUGCAUGGUGGGGGUUGGAAAGUUUCGGCGGUUGGGGAUGGACUCGCGGCUUAUCAGUUUGUUGGUGGGGUAGUGGCUUACCAAGGCUUUGACGGGUAGCCGGCCUGAGAAGGUGACCGGCCACAUUGGGACUGAGAUACGGCCCAGACUCCUACGGGAGGCAGCAGUGGGGAAUAUUGCACAAUGGGCGGAAGCCUGAUGCAGCAACGCCGCGUGCGGGAUGACGGCCUUCGGGUUGUAAACCGCUUUCGCCUGUGACGAAGCGUGAGUGACGGUAAUGGGUAAAGAAGCACCGGCUAACUACGUGCCAGCAGCCGCGGUGAUACGUAGGGUGCGAGCGUUGUCCGGAUUUAUUGGGCGUAAAGGGCUCGUAGGUGGUUGAUCGCGUCGGAAGUGUAAUCUUGGGGCUUAACCCUGAGCGUGCUUUCGAUACGGGUUGACUUGAGGAAGGUAGGGGAGAAUGGAAUUCCUGGUGGAGCGGUGGAAUGCGCAGAUAUCAGGAGGAACGCCAGUGGCGAAGGCGGUUCUCUGGGCCUUUCCUGACGCUGAGGAGCGAAAGCGUGGGGAGCGAACAGGCUUAGAUACCCUGGUAGUCCACGCUGUAAACGGUGGGUACUAGGUGUGGGGUCCAUUCCACGGGUUCCGUGCCGUAGCUAACGCUUUAAGUACCCCGCCUGGGGAGUACGGCCGCAAGGCUAAAACUCAAAGGAAUUGACGGGGCCCCGCACAAGCGGCGGAGCAUGCGGAUUAAUUCGAUGCAACGCGUAGAACCUUACCUGGGUUUGACAUGGAUCGGGAGUGCUCAGAGAUGGGUGUGCCUCUUUUGGGGUCGGUUCACAGGUGGUGCAUGGCUGUCGUCAGCUCGUGUCGUGAGAUGUUGGGUUAAGUCCCGCAACGAGCGCAACCCUUGUUCACUGUUGCCAGCACGUUAUGGUGGGGACUCAGUGGAGACCGCCGGGGUCAACUCGGAGGAAGGUGGGGAUGACGUCAAGUCAUCAUGCCCCUUAUGUCCAGGGCUUCACGCAUGCUACAAUGGCUGGUACAGAGAGUGGCGAGCCUGUGAGGGUGAGCGAAUCUCGGAAAGCCGGUCUCAGUUCGGAUUGGGGUCUGCAACUCGACCUCAUGAAGUCGGAGUCGCUAGUAAUCGCAGAUCAGCAACGCUGCGGUGAAAACGUUCCCGGGGCU
rnacentral:rRNA from 1 species